rnacentral:sRNA from 1 species
AGGUGAGAUGAGUGAGAGCCGAGCAAAGAGAGUUAGAAUAAAAGAGGUAGAUGGCUGGACCCUGAGGAUGCUAAUUGAUUACGUUUACACUGCAGAAAUUCAGGUUACAGAAGAAAAUGUACAGAGCAACAUUUUGCAGAUGUCGUACUUAGUGAAGAAUUUCUCAAUCUUGGCAUCGAACAAGUGUGCAGCUUAAUCUCAAGCGACAAACUUACCAUUUCUUCAGAAGAGAAGGUAUUUGAAGCAGUAAUAGCGUGGGUGAACCACGACAAGGAUGUGAGGCAAGAGUUUAUGGCCCGACUGAUGGAACAUGUACGGUUACCUUUGCUUCCUCGGGAAUAUUUAGUUCAGAGGGUUGAAGAGGAAGCAUUGGUCAAGAAUAGCAGUGCUUGCAAAGAUUACCUCAUUGAAGCAAUGAAGUAUCAUUUGCUGCCAACAGAGCAGCGUAUAUUAAUGAAGAGUGUCCGGACUCGGCUGAGGACACCCAUGAACCUUCCCAAAUUGAUGGUGGUGGUUGGGGGCCAAGCACCAAAGGCUAUCCGGAGUGUGGAAUGCUAUGACUUUAAAGAAGAAAGGUGGCACCAAGUAGCAGAGUUGCCUUCCAGGAGGUGCAGGGCAGGCAUGGUCUACAUGGCUGGACUUGUUUUUGCUGUUGGUGGCUUUAAUGGCUCAUUAAGAGUUCGCACUGUAGAUUCCUACGACCCUGUGAAGGACCAGUGGACCAGCGUUGCUAACAUGAGAGACCGGAGAAGCACUUUGGGAGCUGCUGUGUUAAAUGGAUUGUUAUACGCUGUGGGAGGCUUUGAUGGGAGUACAGGU